rnacentral:rRNA from 1 species
UGCCAGUAGGCAUAUGCUUGUCUCAAAGAUUAAGCCAUGCAUGUCUAAGUAUAAGCACUCGUACUGUGAAACUGCGAAUGGCUCAUUAAAUCAGUUAUCGUUUAUUUGAUUGUACUUUACUACAUGGAUACCUGUGGUAAUUCUAGAGCUAAUACAUGCGAAAAAUCCCGACUUCUGGAAGGGAUGUAUUUAUUAGAUUAAAAACCAAUGCGUGCUUUCGGGCGCGUUUUCUUGGUGAUUCAUGAUAACUUUUCGAAUCGUAUGGCCUAGCGCCGGCGAUAUUUCAUUCAAAUUUCUGCCCUAUCAACUGUCGAUGGUAAGGUAGUGGCUUACCAUGGUUAUAACGGGUGACGGAGAAUUAGGGUUCGAUUCCGGAGAGGGAGCCUGAGAAACGGCUACCACAUCUAAGGAAGGCAGCAGGCUCGAAAAUUACCCAAUCCCGACUCGGGGAGGUAGUGACAAGAAAUAACGAUACGGGGUCUUAAUAGGUCUCGCAAUUGGAAUGAGUACAAUUUAAAUCCUUUAACGAGGAUCCAUUGGAGGCAAGUCUA